rnacentral:rRNA from 1 species
UACGAAGGGGGCUAGCGUUGCUCGGAAUUACUGGGCGUAAAGCGCACGUAGGCGGCUUUCUAAGUCGGGGGUGAAAUCCUGGAGCUCAACUCCAGAACUGCCUUCGAUACUGGAGAGCUUGAGUCCGGGAGAGGUGAGUGGAACUGCGAGUGUAGAGGUGAAAUCGUAGAUAUUCGCAAGAACACCAGUGGCGAAGGCGGCUCACUGGCCCGGUACUGACGCUGAGGUGCGAAAGCGUGGGGAGCAAACAGG